AUUGAACGCUAGCGGCAUGCUUAACACAUGCAAGUCGAACGGUAACAGGUCUAGCUUGCUAGAUGCUGACGAGUGGCGGACGGGUGAGUAACGCGUAGGAAUUUACCUUGUAGUGGGGGAUAACCUGGGGAAACCCAGGCUAAUACCGCAUGAGCCCUAAGGGGGAAAGCGUGGGACCGAAAGGCCACGUGCUAUGAGAUGAGCCUGCGUCGGAUUAGCUAGUUGGUAGGGUAAAGGCCUACCAAGGCGAGGAUCCGGAGCUGGUCUGAGAGGACGACCAGCCACACUGGGACUGAGACACGGCCCAGACUCCUACGGGAGGCAGCAGUGGGGAAUAUUGGACAAUGGGCGCAAGCCUGAUCCAGCAAUGCCGCGUGUGUGAAGAAGGCCUGCGGGUUGUAAAGCACUUUCGGUGGGGAGGAAGGCCUGAUGGUUAAUAGUCAUCAGGAUUGACGUUACCCACAGAAGAAGCACCGGCUAACUCUGUGCCAGCAGCCGCCGUAA
rnacentral:rRNA from 1 species